GCCACUUUGCGUUUCUGCGACCCAAACGCAUUCGUAAUGCGUGGGUCGUAGGUUCGAAUCCUAUUCCCGGCACCA
rnacentral:tRNA from 1 species